rnacentral:lncRNA from 1 species
AUGAUUCAUACUUAAUAUUUAUAUUUAGACCUCGCAACCGGACGAAAAAAAUGAAAGACUUAGAAAAAUUCAUUUAGAAAACGAAAUGGAAUUUUAUUCUUUAAAACUGUCGCCGCUUAUCCAUUUCUUUGUAUUUUUUUUCAUUAUAUCUAUUUCUUGAAAUUGAAUAAGUGAUGAUCCAGCAGUUCUUACUUAGGGAAUUCUUGGACUUCGAUUAAAGGUUUUUUUUGGAAAUCAUCGUGGUUCUGGUAUGAAUCUCAGGUUUUUAAUUGAUUCUUAUAGGGUCUUAACAAGAAAAUUCUUAUCAAUAAUAAUAAUAAAAAAAA